UCUCCUCCAGGUGCAGGCUAUAAGGUUCAUUGGUCAUUUUUAACCUGCACAGGCCUGCAGUGGGGUAAAGUUAGGUGCUUGACUGUCCCUGAAAAGGGCAUGGGCUGCUCUUUCUUUAAACCUCUCGGACAUACAGAAAAUCAUAUGAAAGUUCUGCCCACAAUGAGGAUAAAUUUGUAGUCCCAAUUAUCAUAACAGGUCCCCUGGAUAAGGUGCUGGACUGGAAGUGAAGAGAUCAGACUUUGAUUCGCAGCCUACCCAUAGCCUGCUGUGUGAUCUUUGGUGAUUCAGCAAACUGCACCUCUACUGCUGCUCAUGAGAUUCCAUUGUGACUUCAGAUGAAUUCUAGAACAUCAAAGUACUCACUAUUGCCUGCAAAGCACAAGCUCUGGAGCUGAGGGCCAGCAGUGAUGAAGUUAAUGAAAAGUGCACUAUGGAGGAGAAGAAAAAAAAAUGAUUUGAAGAAGAAGUAGUUUGGAUUGAAAUUGGCUGUAAUAAUUGUGCAGUUCAGCAAUUUAUGCUGUAUUCUAUUUCUAUAGGCCCAUUAUUUUAGUCUUUAAAUGAUUUUUCCCUCUUGCUUAUAUAAAUGUCUCAGAGCUAGCACCUAUAUUGUCAUCCACUGUAAUUGGUGGGAACCAGUGCUUCUCUAUUGUCUGUAAUUACCAAGGCUGGCCAUCAUUACAUUGCUGCACAUUUCUAUGUUCUUUUAGGAGCUACUGCUCCUAAGAAUAAGCCACCUCAAUUGCAAAAGAGUAUUGGAAUGGAGACACUUACUUUUUCUAAAUUAAAGUGCAAUUUUUUUUAAGCUUGUUUGUGUAGUUUUGCUGUUUACCAGAUAACAAGGGCUGCAAUAUUGAAGUGUCAACAUUCAUUUAUGAACCAUAUUGAGAUUCACUAAAUGAAUUCAAGGAGCACAAAGUAAUUUGUAUUCAAGACAUAUUGCCUAAUCAGACUUAAAUUCAAGUGAACAUUUAAUCAAUUAGGUCUAUUUGAUUCGCCAGCAGUUAAAAUUUCUUUAAUUAUAUCCAAGCUGGAAUAAACAAUGGAUCAUAGGUUGGGCCUUCCCAAAUUAAAGUGAUAGGAUCAGAUCAGUUUGUAGCUCAAAUAAUGAACAAGGAAUUCCAGUGAGAAAAUAGGAUAUCAGACAAUGUUCUAUUUCUCACUCUAAAUUAAUUGUUUUCAAAAGUAGAUGUGGUAUAAGAUGUAGAGGAGAAACCUAUUUGUCUUCUACACAGAGUUCAUGGUAAUGAGGUUUAAACACUUACAAUAAAUUGUAAUUUUCUCUCCUUCUUCUGUUUUUUUUUUUAAGCUCCUUUUAAUAGCAACACUGAUACCAUGUCAGUACCUGGAAUUGCAAUGUAAAUUAUGGUAAAAAUGGUAAAGAAGUGUUCAUAGCUAAUUGAUAUCUGCAGGAUUUACAGGAGUUAAAUAAAAAUGAAAAUGUAAAUCUGAUGUAAAACAAACUAGAAAUCAAUGUGCCCAUAAAUUUGUUCUAUAACUGCUGUGCCACACUUGUAUUUACUAGCUUCUAGCUCUGAGCAGCAAAGCUGGGUUAGAAAUCCUUUAUAAAAAUUAAAUUACUUUACCCACACUUGUAAAAUACUCUGUGCUAUUAUUUGGAAAUGAUAAUGUCUACUGAGUUAGCUGCAGAUGUGCUAUAUGUAAAUAAGAUACUAAGAUCCAAAACAAUUUAAAACUUUGGGACUCCCAAAGCUGAAAAAUCCUUCUAAAAGGGAGGAGAAUUGCCAAAUAAUGCACCUCUGACUUUAAUAAAGUUUGAGAGUCAUACUCUGAACAUAAUAAACAAUUGGCAGGCUGAAUCAGCAUGUUCAAGAUGCUUCCCGGUUUUAAAUUAAGUGGAGUUUGACCCCCAUAAACUUCCAGCAAUAGGCUCAGUUUAAUAAGGACCACUCACACCAGCAGCUCAGAUAGAAAAGGAAAUCUGGAUUAUCAUUCUUUCAUAGUUUUUUUUUUAAAAAAGAACUUUCGUGGUCAAAAUAUUUCAAGCACUUGGCAAAACAGUUAGCUAGAUCCAGACCCACAAAAGGACUUAGAUGCCCAACUCCCAUUUUAGGCACCUAAAUCCAAAACUUAAGCACCACUUAGGUCCUCGAAACGCUUGCUAACCCUCUGCCUGACCCCAGAGA